rnacentral:rRNA from 1 species
ACAGGUGCUAAUACCGCAUAACAGUUUAUGCCGCAUGGCAUAAGAGUGAAAGGCGCUUUCGGGUGUCGCUGAUGGAUGGACCCGCGGUGCAUUAGCUAGUUGGUGAGGUAACGGCUCACCAAGGCCACGAUGCAUAGCCGACCUGAGAGGGUGAUCGGCCACACUGGGACUGAGACACGGCCCAGACUCCUACGGGAGGCAGCAGUAGGGAAUCUUCGGCAAUGGACGAAAGUCUGACCGAGCAACGCCGCGUGAGUGAAGAAGGUUUUCGGAUCGUAAAACUCUGUUGUUAGAGAAGAACAAGGACGUUAGUAACUGAACGUCCCCUGACGGUAUCUAACCAGAAAGCCACGGCUAACUACGUGCCAGCAGCCGCGGUAAUACGUAGGUGGCAAGCGUUGUCCGGAUUUAUUGGGCGUAAAGCGAGCGCAGGCGGUUUCUUAAGUCUGAUGUGAAAGCCCCCGGCUCAACCGGGGAGGGUCAUUGGAAACCGGGAGACUUGAGUGCAGAAGAGGAGAGUGGAAUUCCAUGUGUAGCGGUGAAAUGCGUAGAUAUAUGGAGGAACACCAGUGGCGAAGGCGGCUCUCUGGUCUGUAACUGACGCUGAG